GGAACCGUUGCUUCCCAGGAGCUUACCGAGCAGCGACAGGAGCAGCGCCUCGUACGUUUCUAAGGAGCGGUCCAUGGUCGCGGCGCUGGGAGCAGACGCUAAAUGAGGAUGAGUGGCACCUCCUGAUGCAGAUGCUGGCAGAAGGGAAUUUGACAGCAGGUCCUGCAACCCAGCCACACCUGAUGCCCUAAGCUUGGAAGGUACCUGAGAACUUGACAAUGGUCUUUGCUCGAAGAUCGUAGAGACCAAGAGGUUUAAGUAGUUCUGACACAUCUCUCCAGUCUGCUGUUCUUGCCACCUCGGCUGAAGGGUACUUCUCCAGAAACUUCCAAAGCACAGGCUCCACUAGGACAAAGAUUAAAAGAAUCCACAAACCUGAGGUUCGAUUGAGAAAUAUAGUCGCUAUGAGGAGUUUCCACGGAUCAUGAAAAAGUGUUUCCUGAACGAGAUUAAAAGGUGACCGAGGAGGUGUCCACUUCUUAAAGGCUUUUCGUCUUGGGGGGCUAAGAGCUAAACAAAUGUACCGCGUCAGAAAUGAACACCUCAAAUGGAUUUAACAUCUGAUUUUCUGAUUGAGAAAGCAAUACCUUCUUUGUUAUAUUUGCUGGAAAAAUACAGGCUUGUUUUCCUUUUUUCUACUUGUGUUCGUGGAACAGGUGUGUCUUCUGAAAAGGAAGAGUGAAUACUGUUCAUAGACCAGAUGGUUUAGCCUAACUAUAGGCUAAAUAAUAACAAAAUAAUAAUACCACUACUUACAAAGCAUUUAGUAUGUGCCAGGCACUUUACAUAAGUUAAGCCACUUAAUUCUACUAAUGACCUAUGAGGUUGAUACUCUUUUAUCUCCACAUUACAGAUAAGGAAAUUGAGGUACAGAAAAGUGAAGUUACUUGUCCAAGGUCACAUAGCUAGUGAGUGUCAGAGCUGAAAUUCAAAUCCAGGCAGCCCGGCUACUGAGGCCAUGCCUUUACCAUCACUGUUAUACUAGUUCUCAAUGAUUUAUGUUCAGUGUUCACAGUAUUGAAAAAUUGGAAAUAUGGAAUAUUCAAAAUUAUGGUGACCGUACAAUGUGAUCAUUAAAAUAUUUUUGUAACUACAUCAUGAGUAUUUUCCCAUGUCAUUAACUUUUAAGUAAAAAGGUAAGAUUCUACAUACAGUAAAACCUGUGAAACCUGGAACCUGUGGAAGGCAGAAACAUACCAGAGAAGGAAAACACAAAUAUUUUCCACUAAAAGGAGUGACAGAAAGGUGGUAAGACUGCACUGCACCCUGUCAAAGGCGAAAAUUUGCAAGACCCAGAAAAACAAGGCAGUCCCGUCAAGUUUCGGCUCUCACAGGUUUCACUGUAUAAUCCAAAUUCUAUAACAAAGAAGAAAAAUAUAUAGCUAUAGAGAUUAGAAUAAAAUAAACCAAAAUGGUAUAAUCGUUGUUAUUGAGCAGUGAUUUUUAUUUUCUUCUUUAAUUUUCCAUAUUUUUCAAAAUUUCUACAGGGAACACUUCCACAGUAAUCAAAAAAGGGAUGCAGACAAUACAGAACCUGCAGAAAAAUCUAAGCGCUUCUGAUUAGAUUUGGGCCCUGGGAUACCUAUGACUACUAUCUACUGGGAUGCUCCAUUAAUUCAACAAAGACUAUCUGAAAAACAUUAUCAGAUUUCCCAAGUUUCUAAAAUCAUCCGUUAAUACUCCAUUUAGCCAUAAAAAUAAAUAAAAAAUAUCAUACCCUCUAAAUUUGAAUAUCAGCUAACAAUAUCUUACAUUUGUGUAGCCUGACAUCAUCUUGUUCACUUCUCAUUUUACCUUAUAACAUUUUUGAUGUGGCAAACAGGACUAAUGAGUGCUGUUACCUCCACUGUAUACAUGAAGAAACGAAGACUUAGAAAUUAAACAACCAUCUCAAAAUGAUACUGGGAUUGACAACUGACUGAGAUAAGAAUGCAGAUCUCCAGGUUAGUCUAGUGGUUUUUUUGCUAUUCCAGUUUCAACAGGUAAAGCCCAGUAGAAGGUAAAAAACAGAAUAAAGGAAACUGCUCUUACUCACUCAUCAUUUUCUCUGUGGGGUCCUACAAAUAAUGACUAACUAGCCUUUUAUUCCUAGGAAACCUAAGCUCAGUUUAUUUGGCAAUUUCUAGCUAAGCCAAUGGGAAACUCUCUACUAUUCCACUGGAUACCUAUUAACUUAAGGACAUUUCAUCUUAUGAUGAGAACUCAACUUCUUUAUGUAUGGGAUGAAAAGGACACUCCCAUUUUAGUUGCAAAAGGACUUUUUAAUAUUUAAUUUGCCCAUACUCAUAAUAAAUAUAUGUAAGCCUCAAAACUUUACUUAAGAAGCUCCAAGUCUUUAAGGAGAGACUUCAUUCUUAUGCAUUUCCUAGAUGCAUACGGCCAUCUUCUAUAAAGGUAGAGAAAGUCUGGGGACAGAAAAGACAUAAAAUCAUGGUUGGGUUUAAGAGCAGGAAUUAAGUUGUAACCCCCUGCUCUACCAAUUUGUGCAGGCUGUCUCCCCACAGGAUUUUAAGUAAAAUUACUAUUCUUUAAAGGAGUUAUUCAUUAUAUCAUAAUGGCAUAAUGAAUAACUAAUACAGGGCUGCUCCAAAGGUCUCCUUUUUAUCACUUAUUCACUGAGGUAUCAUAAAAGCAAAACUGCUAAACUCUCAACUCUGUAUUAAGAGCAUAUUACAAAUAAUAGAUGAACUAUGGGAUUACAGUUUUGAAUUAUUUAGAGCUCUAAAGCAUUUUAGAGAAGCAUUACAUUAUAAUUGAAGAUAAAAAUCACAAUGAUAUAAUAUGCAAAAUUAAAUUAGAAGUCACGUAUCAGCAGUAAGUAACAGGAGGGGUACAGGAGAAGACACUGACCAGUCUAUGUAUAAAAGGCAUCCUCCCUAAAUCUUUUCACAAGUAGUCUUUUAAUUUUCCUUAAAGUCUUAACAUUACUGGCUAGAAAGAGGACGGGAAGAGGGGAAAGCUCUGUUGAGAAGAAGAGUCCCAGAUGCCGCGCCAGGGAGAUGGCUGCAGCUGUUAAUCAUACAACUCUCCUUUGCUGGGGACAUCUAGGUUGAAUCCAGCUGAAUUCCUCUCUGCCAUGGGAAAGGACUUGAAUCAGCUGGACAGCUCAUACAUAGUUCAGUUAGACAAGAUAUCAGGAUCGACUACUAGAAUAUAUGAUAUUUGGCCCCAUUUCUUGGCUGUAUUCACACAUCCUAACUGUGUAGAGGCAUGACACAAGAUCCAGAGGAAAAGUCCUCAUCAUACAAUGGUUAAUAGCAUUUUAAAGCAACGAAUACCUUGAAAUUUUUUCACAGAAGUAAAGUUUUUCUCGGCUGGUGAGCUGCUGUUGUCCAUCCCAGAGUCACAUUCUAAAAUGUCAACAUGCAAAUGUUUCUUCCUCUCUCCAACUUCUACUUCGGUUCUGAUUUCCUCAGAGUCUAAAAAGGUAGUCUCACAUUUCUUGCUGUGUUCUGCUUCUUUGGUCAGACAUAAUUUGUUUAUGCUGCUAGAGGUUAUUUUUUCAAAAUCAAAAUCUGAUUCAGGUUGCAAUGAUUUCUCCUUUACAAGCCUCUUUUCUUCAUUUGUCACAAUGAGGGUCUCAUCACUUGCUUUGACAUCGGAAGUGCAGUGAGUUCUAUCAAGCUGACUCUCUUGGGAAACAGGCUCACCUUCAACAUCUGCUUCAUUGUACACAGAUUCUCUUUUUCUAUUACUUU